rnacentral:rRNA from 1 species
UACGUAGGUGGCAAGCGUUGUCCGGAUUUACUGGGCGUAAAGAGCGCGCAGGCGGUCGUUCAAGUCGCGUGUGAAAGCCCCCGGCUCAACUGGGGAGGGUCACGCGAUACUGAUCGACUGGAAGGCAGGAGAGGGUAGUGGAAUUCCCGGUGUAGUGGUGAAAUGCGUAGAUAUCGGGAGGAACACCAGUGGCGAAGGCGGUUGCCUGGGGCUUUGCUGACGCUGAUGCGCGAAAGCGUGGGGAGCGAUCCGG